rnacentral:piRNA from 1 species
UGGGAGCCAAGAGAAUGCAAGAUCCUG